UACGAGGGGGGCGAGCGUUGUUCGGAAUUAUUGGGCGUAAAGGGUGCGUAGGCGGUUUGGUAAGUCUGAUGUGAAAUCUAUGGGCUCAACUCAUAGUCUGCUUCGGAAACUGCCGGGCUUGAGUAUGGGAGAGGUGAGUGGAAUUCCUGGUGUAGCGGUGAAAUGCGUAGAUAUCAGGAGGAACACCUGUGGCGAAAGCGGCUCACUGGACCAUAACUGACGCUGAUGCACGAAAGCUAGGGGAGCGAAUGGG
rnacentral:rRNA from 1 species